UACGGAGGGGGCUAGCGUUGUUCGGAAUUACUGGGCGUAAAGCGCACGUAGGCGGCUUUGUAAGUUAGAGGUGAAAGCCCGGGGCUCAACUCCGGAAUUGCCUUUAAGACUGCAUCGCUCGAAUUGUGGAGAGGUAAGUGGAAUUCCGAGUGUAGAGGUGAAAUUCGUAGAUAUCAGGAGGAACACCUGUGGCGAAAGCGGCUCACUGGACCAUAACUGACGCUGAUGCACGAAAGCUAGGGGAGCAAACAGG
rnacentral:rRNA from 1 species